GAUGAACGCUGGCGGCGUGCCUAAUACAUGCAAGUCGAACGCUUCGCUUCGGUGAAGAGUGGCGAACGGGUGAGUAAUACAUAAGUAACCUGGCAUCUACAGGGGGAUAACUGAUGGAAACGUCAGCUAAGACCGCAUAGGUGUAGAGAUCGCAUGAACUCUAUAUGAAAAGUGCUACGGGACUGGUAGAUGAUGGACUUAUGGCGCAUUAGCUUGUUGGUAGGGUAACGGCCUACCAAGGCGACGAUGCGUAGCCGACCUGAGAGGGUGACCGGCCACACUGGGACUGAGACACGGCCCAGACUCCUACGGGAGGCAGCAGUAGGGAAUUUUCGGCAAUGGGGGAAACCCUGACCGAGCAACGCCGCGUGAAGGAAGAAGUAAUUCGUUAUGUAAACUUCUGUCAUAGAGGAAGAACGGUGGAUAUAGGGAAUGAUAUCCAAGUGACGGUACUCUAUAAGAAAGCCACGGCUAACUA
rnacentral:rRNA from 1 species